rnacentral:rRNA from 1 species
CCUACGGGGGGCAGCAGUGAGGAAUAUUGGUCAAUGGUCGGGAGACUGAACCAGCCAAGCCGCGUGAGGGAUGAAGGUACAGCGUAUCGUAAACCUCUUUUGUCAGGGAACAAAGGCGGGGACGUGUCCCCGGAUGAGUGUACCUGAAGAAAAAGCAUCGGCUAACUCCGUGCCAGCAGCCGCGGUAAUACGGAGGAUGCGAGCGUUAUCCGGAUUUAUUGGGUUUAAAGGGUGCGCAGGCGGUCUGUUAAGUCAGCGGUAAAAGCCCGGGGCUCAACCCCGGCCCGCCGUUGAAACUGGCAGUCUCGAGUUGGAGAGAAGUAUGCGGAAUGCGCGGUGUAGCGGUGAAAUGCAUAGAUAUCGCGCAGAACUCCGAUUGCGAAGGCAGCAUGCCGGCUCCACACUGACGCUGAGGCACGAAAGCGUGGGUAUCGAACAGGAUUAGAUACCCUAGUAGUC